rnacentral:lncRNA from 10 species
GGAGACUGUUUCUACUCUCUCACCUUGAGGUGUCGGCGCAUUCUCCCCCUGCUCUCUAUCUCAUCUCCAGCUGUUCUCCGCCCUGCCCUUCCAAGUGCCGUUCCCGGGAGCUGUCUCUUACUAAACCACACCUUGACCUCACCUUCCUAGGUUCCUGCCACCGGGCAGUAAUAACUGAAAUCUACCUUGAAGUUUAUGGCGUAAGUUUUCUUUACAUCUGGAUUCCCAAUGCCGAGGGAGCCUAGACCUACUGAAAGAAAUUCUGCUGGCCAGACUAGAUUGGCAGCUUUCCCGUCUGACUUCAGGUUGUCUAUUUUCAGUUCGUCUUUAGCUUGACCUACCAAAAAAAAAAAAUUUUUAAGUGACUUUCUCUCGCUGCUCUUUUUGAGAAGCCUCACCUCUCUCAUUCUGAGAAGAUACGGAGUACACCAAUCACAAUACAAUUUUCUUCUAGCGUAAUGGCUGUUCAUUCAUUAGUUAAUUGUAAGAUAUUAUCUUUUUUUCCUUUUUUGAAACCUAAUGACUUUACUACGUCAGCACUUGAAAGUGAAAGAGCUUGUCUGCUUCAUUCUAAGACUCUCAGAGACAUAACACAUGAUCCUAUUUAUUUCCUUCUUAGCACCUUUCCAACCAAUAGUUAUUUAUCAGUUAUUAAUAAAUAUUUGUUUACUUUCAAAAUUAUUUAUUGUCCUAUCCUUUUGGACUAUAAUAAGCUCCAUGUGUGGAGGAACCUUGCUUCUGUUACUCACAAUACUAGUAGAAGCUCAAUAAAUAUUUGUUGAAUGAAUUAAAGAAUUGCAAAGAGAGGAUAGUAUGAGAUGAAUAUUUUGAAAUAAGACUAGUGCCAGGUGAGGUGGAGAAACCUUCACACAAAGUCAAAAAAACAAGGACAAGACCUGGAACCCCAACUCUGCCAUUUACAGAAUAGGAAAUGAAUCCCAGAGAGGUGAAAUGUGCCCCAUGUGGUGAAGAUCUUGUCCCAUUUUCCCAUUUCCCCAAACCUUGGCAGACAGACAAUUCUUUAGUACUUCAAUCCUAGUAGCUACAAAAUACUACAAUAAUUUUUUGUUGUUGAAUGAGUUAUUUUACCUAUUACAUUACCCUAUACACCUGUACAGAAAAACGUUAGUCAAAAGCAUAAAUACGGCCGG